rnacentral:lncRNA from 1 species
UGGAAACAUUUUGUUUUGAGUCAUUGGAACAUUAACAAUGGUAUGACCAGUUUUCUUAUCUUCAAUACAACAUGAGUUAUCAUCAAACACAAUUCUAUACCCACUAGUCAUCAAUUGCCCAAUACUUAACAAAUUAUAAGCCAAGCUAGGAGCAAAUUGCACAUCAUUUAAAAGUUUAGUAUUACGGUGGCGAGUAUUGAUGGCAAUUGUUCCUUUCCCUUCCACUUGAAUCACCUUAUC